rnacentral:rRNA from 1 species
AAUAGAUACCCUGGUAGUCCACGCCGUAAACGAUGAGUGCUAAGUGUUAGAGGGUUUCCGCCCUUUAGUGCUGAAGUUAACGCAUUAAGCACUCCGCCUGGGGAGUACGGCCGCAAGGCUGAAACUCAAAGGAAUUGACGGGGGCCCGCACAAGCGGUGGAGCAUGUGGUUUAAUUCGAAGCAACGCGAGAACCUUACCAGGUCUUGACAUCCUCUGACAACCCUAGAGAUAGGGCUUCUCCUUCGGGAGCAGAGUGACAGGUGGUGCAUGGUUGUCGUCAGCUCGUGUCGUGAGAUGUUGGGUUAAGUCCCGCAACGAGCGCAACCCUUGAUCUUAGUUGCCAUCAUUUAGUUGGGCACUCUAAGGUGACUGCCGGUGACAAACCGGAGGAAGUGGGGAUGACGUCAAAUCAUCAUGCCCCUUAUGACCUGGGCUACACACGUGCUACAAUGGACGGUCAAAGAGCUGCAAGACCGCGAGGUGGAGCUAAUCUCAUAAAACCGGUUCUCAGUUCGGA